GUGGCUGCAGUGAAUAUUGGUUGCACUUGUUAGCAAUACAGUGCAGCUCCAGGUAGCCACAUAUAGUAACAAAAUGGUUCCUGCCGACAGCAUCUGUCAAGUUAUCAGAUUUCCUGUGCGAUGGUUCCAGACAUC
rnacentral:snoRNA from 1 species